UACGUAGGGGGCAAGCGUUGUCCGGAAUCAUUGGGCGUAACGCGCUUGUAGGCGGUUUGUCGCGUCUGCCGUGAAAAUCCGGGGCUCAACCCCGGACUUGCGGUGGGUACGGGCAGACUAGAGUGUGGUAGGGGAGACUGGAAUUCCUGGUGUAGCGGUGAAAUGCGCAGAUAUCAGGAGGAACACCGAUGGCGAAGGCAGGUCUCUGGGCCACUACUGACGCUGAGAAGCGAAAGCGUGGGGAGCGAACAGG
rnacentral:rRNA from 1 species